UGGGGAGCCCCAGAGUGUCACCCUCCCUGGCGAUGACCGGAGGAAGAGCUGACCCUGUCUUGCCUCAGACAACUGCUCCAAUCAGCUGCUUGGGAACUGCUCUGGCAAGUGACAGCAGUCCCCUGAUACACAAGGAGUGAUGGAGGUGGAAACAACAGGGUGCUAGAGAGCCACUGACUCCUGACAAGAGUGGUCCGAGGGUCCUGCUAAUCAGUGUUUCAUCAUUUCAAUACUGAGUGUGACUUUCUGAACAUGGAAGAGAUCAUUCCAAAACGUACAGAUAAAGAACCGGCCUGAAGAGGUGGCGAAUCGGGCAAGAUCACGGAGGUGGCUGGUGGGGGAAGUGAAACCCCCCACCCAGGUUUCUGGUCCCCGAUUCAGUGCCCAUUCAUCCAGGUUAUGGGAGGAAAAGGAAGCACCGAAGAUCACCAAUAAUGGAAAGGGUGAAAUGCAAAUCAAACUGAAAAACUCUCCACAGGAAACUGAGAAGAUUCUAAAAAAAAAAAACAAAAAAAAAAAAAACAAAAAAAACCCCAAACCAAAACAGUUCGUGUCACACCGUGACAAACAGUAGACCCGGGGCAUUUUAGCAUCCCGGGUGCCAGUCUGGAGCGCAGCUGGUGGGGGCAGACCCUGCCCUCCCCAUGGACAAGCGGUGUGCCCUGGGCAAAUUUCUACACCUCUGCAAACACCCGCUUCCUCAGUCAUGAAAUGGGGAUAACAGCAGUAUCACCCUCCAUCCAGAUUUUGUGAAGAUCAAAGAGUCAUGAGCCAUGGUAAAGAGCUUUCUCAGCACAGUGCCUCCCGCCUAAGUGCUUAACCAGCAUUUGCUGGUACUAUUAUUAUAAUUACUAUAGAGCUACUACAACCAGGGACAAAUUCGUUUUCUUACUAG